rnacentral:rRNA from 1 species
GGAUAACCGUAGUAAUUCUAGAGCUAAUACAUGUAUAAAGUCUUGUAGACUGCAUUUAUUAGAAUGAAAACCAUAGGUUUCGGCCUAUUCGUGAGUAAUAAUAACUAAUCAUAUCGUAUGCUUAUGUAACGAUGUGUCUUUCAAGUUUCUGCCCUAUCAGCUUUCGAUGGUAGUGUAUUGGACUACCAUGGCAUAACGGGUAACGAAGAAUUGGGUUCGAUUUCGGAGAGGGAGCCUGAGAGAUGGCUACCACAUCCAGGAAGGCAGCAGCGCGUAAUUACCCAUCCUGACCAGGGAGGUAGUGACAUAAUCACAAUGCG